CCUACGGGGGGCAGCAGUGGGGAAUAUUGGACAAUGGGGGAACCCUGAUCCAGCCAUGCCGCGGGGGUGGAGAAGGCCCCCGGGUUGUAAAGCACUUUCAGUGAGGGAGAACGGCUGGUGGUUAAAACCCAUCAGGAAAGACAACACUCACAGAAGGAGCACCGGCUAACUCCGUGCCAGCAGCCGCGGUAAUACGGAGGGUGCGAGCGUUAAUCGGAAUUACUGGGCGUAAAGCGCGCGUAGGUGGCUUGAUAAGCCGGUUGUGAAAGCCCCGGGCUCAACCUGGGAACGGCAUCCGGAACUGUCAAGCUAGAGUGCAGGAGAGGAAGGUAGAAUUCCCGGUGUAGCGGUGAAAUGCGUAGAGAUCGGGAGGAAUACCAGUGGCGAAGGCGGCCUUCUGGACUGACACUGACACUGAGGUGCGAAAGCGUGGGUAGCAAACAGGAUUAGAUACCCGAGUAGUC
rnacentral:rRNA from 1 species